AAACAGGGGAGCUGUCAAAAGCGGCUGAGAGGAAGUUGUGCUACUUCGACCCUUUAACCUGAUUCGGAUAAUGCCGGCGUAGGAAGCUUAU
rnacentral:ncRNA from 1 species